UCAUCUCAGAGAUGGUGACAGACCUAUGUGAGUGCAACCCAAUUACAUUAACUCUAGGGCGUAAUGGUUCUCUUUCCACCUCCUACAAAAGAAGAGAGUAUUUCAAGAAGCAUUUUUCCGUGGUGGAACCCAUAGAGUAUAUGCUCAGUGCCAGGGAUCGGAGAAGUUUCCAAUAUGUACCUAUUUUGAAGUCCUUGCAUGAGGUUUUGAAGAAAAAAGAGAUCCAAGAUUUGCUCACACACAGUUGUGAAGCAGACAGCAGUUCUGAACAUCAAUACAAGUCAUUUCAGGAUGGCACACAUUUUAAAAACAAUACAUUGCUGUCAGAAAAUAAUCCAGCUAUUUCUCUCAUUCUGUAUGUGGAUGAUUUUGAAGUGUGUAAUCCACUUGGCACUUCAAGAAAAAAGCACAAAAUUACUGCUGUGUAUUGGGUUUUAGCAAAUGUGCCACCACUGCUCAGAUCAUCACUGACAUCGAUAUACCUUGCAAUACUCUGCAAGGCUGAUGAUAUCAAAAAGUUUGGCUAUAGUGCUGUGUUAGAGCCACUGCUAAAAGAUCUUGCCAGCCUUGAAGAAGAAGGACUUUACAUUCCUUCAUUAGGCAUUCGAGUCAAAGGUACUGUGUAUUGUGUUGUUGCAGAUAACCUUGGCGCCCACUCCAUUGGAGGAUUUGUGGAGAGCUUCUCAAGUACACGCAUCUGCAGGUUCUGUCUUGGAGAAAGAUCCCAGUUCCAAAUGCUGCAAUGUCUCAUCAAGCCAAACUUAGGAUCAUUCUUCAGGACCAUGACAUUCGCAAACUUGACUUACCUCAUGGCCUCCCUGGGACUGUGGGUGAACUUGAGUCCCUUGUUAGAGAGACAUUUGGGCUUCAAGGGAACUUCACUUUGCAUUACAAGGAUGCUGAUUUUGGAGACGAAUAUUUCAGUCUUACCUCAACAAGUGACAUCAAGGACAAGGACACAAUAAAAGUGGUUGACAUUGUUGAACCUCACACAUUUACUCUGACCUUAACUGAUGUGGACAAUACCUUUUGAAAGUGAAUCAGAAACCUCCAUCCAUACCUCAGCAACCUCAGUCAGUUCUUCAGUGACUUCCGUCCAUCCUCCCAAAAGCAGUUGCUCUUCCGGAUCCCAGGAUACACUGAUGCUUUCAUCACCUGAACAUGGGAUUCAGCGAUCACAGCGUUGGCCAACUGAAUUUCCUGUACCUCGCUUUGCCUAUGACACAGAGCUUAUGCUUGCCUCAGGAAAUGAAGCUUUCAAGAAGGAUGGAAUUCCACUCAGCUUUACCUCAAUCCUACCAGACAUCCUUGAGAGACUGGCUGAAAGCAUCUUUCAGUAUGUUGCCUACCCAACAAGUGCACAGUUUUCGGAUGUUGCUGAGGCGCUGAUUCAGAAGCAUCCUUGCCUCAAAGAACCGGGAUCAUAUAAUGGAUGCUAUGGAUGGCAACAGAGACUAAAAUACAAAAUGGGCAACUAUAGAAACAAGUUGAGAGGGCUUGGAUGCCCUGAACUUGAUGUCAACUCUCUCAGAAAGAAGCGACCACAUGAGAAAGCACCUGCAAAGAAUGUCAAAAAGCCAAAAAAGUCAGAAGUGAACUAUCCGCUCACCCACAAGGAGAAACAGAAGAAAGUUUGGAGUCUGAAAGAGUGGAGCUCCUUAAUGAAGUGAGGAAAAGGGACAACUGUCAGAUCAUCAGUGCAAAAAUGGCAAAGACAUUCUCAAUUCGCAGGCAGGAAGUAGUCAAUCAAGUACCAUCAGUCAGUGACCUGAAAGAAAGAUGGCCUGCUCUUUUUGACGUAGCCCAGAUAAGCCAAGAAUUCAGAAGGAUCACCACUGUUAGUCUAGAGACUACAUUCAUGGCAAAGCUGGACCAGUUCUCCCCGAAAAUAAUGUCCUUGCUGUCCUCAAGGGGAGGGGCUGCAAAAAUGAAUAUCCAGCGCAUACAGAACAUGCUGCUUGAGGACGAUUCUGUGGAGAGAAGGCGAGAGGUCGCUAUCCGUGGCUUAGUCGUGUAUCUGAGGGAAAAGGAGGAGGACCUCUUCAAAGAGCAGGAUGAUGGCGGGGAUGUUACUAAUGAAGUGAUGAAGAUUGUCACAACGAGAGGUGCCAUAACGUCUGUUCCAGCCAGCGCAAGGAUCAUACUUGAGGGAACAGAAGUCCUAGCAGACCUGGAUGUACCCAGAGCCUGUGCCAUGCUAAUGGGGCUGAUAUACGCACUCAACCUCAGCUACCCAAAAGAACUGAAAAACACUUUUGAAGUGUUUCAAAAUAUAUUCCUCCGGCUGGAUGAUCUGAAAGCCAGUCCGAAGGUAAUGUCUCUAAAAAGUAAACUGCUGUACUAAAAAAUGUGAAGAGUUUGGCUAUCCAAAUGGAUAAGAAAUGUUACACUGUUGUCAUCCUGUUGUUUACAAUGUUUUGUUGUGUAACAUACUGUAGAGCAGGUGUACUGUUGACAGUUCAUUGAGUACACUUGUUAAAGUACACUUGAGUGCACUUUAGCACAGUCAGUCUGACCAGCGUGGCUGUCAAAAUGUUCAGUCUUUUUGAGACAGUUAUACAGGGGUGUUUAGCGUUAUGUAUGUUAUGGAGGCUACAGGCACAAUGUAUGCCAUUCAAAUGUUGUCAGUCAAAUGAGACAUUGACUGAUGUUCUAAUAAACAGUGAUCGUAAAA